rnacentral:tRNA from 1 species
AGUUAAUGAACUUGAAUAAGUUUAUAUUUUGAAAAUAUACCAUAAAGGAAUUCCUUUAUUAACUU